rnacentral:rRNA from 1 species
GAUGAACGCUAGCGGCAGGCCUAACACAUGCAAGUCGAGGGGUAGCAGGAUUAAGCUUGCUUAAUUGCUGACGACCGGCGCACGGGUGCGUAACGCGUAUGCAACCUACCUUAUACUGGGGUAUAGCCCGGAGAAAUUCGGAUUAAUCCCCCAUAGUACUAAUGAAUCGCAUGGUUUAUUAGUUAAGGCAUUGCGGUAUAAGAUGGGCAUGCGUCCUAUUAGCUAGAUGGUGAGGUAACGGCUCACCAUGGCUACGAUAGGUAGGGGGCCUGAGAGGGGGGUCCCCCACACUGGUACUGAGACACGGACCAGACUCCUACGGGAGGCAGCAGUGAGGAAUAUUGGUCAAUGGGCGCAAGCCUGAACCAGCCAUGCCGCGUGCGGGAAGAAUGCCCUAUGGGUUGUAAACUGCUUUUAUUUGGGAAUAAACCUCUUUACGUGUAGAGAGCUGAAGGUACCAAAUGAAUAAGCACCGGCUAACUCCAUGCCAGCCGCCGCGGUAA